AGAGUCAAUUCCACCAAACCACACAACCGAAGAUUCAACUAGAGCGUUAAGUCGUCAGUCAGAAGCCUCAUCCUGUCUCGAACCACACGAGUCGAAACACCACGAGGCUCAGAGUGACCGCGCACGUAACGCUCUCCCUCUUUGCCAAGGAAGCUUGCUUGCCCCCGGCAGUCUGGCAGUGAAGAGCGCUUAAUGACUCGUGCGGGGAAACAUUGAGUGUCUGGCUCACGUGGACUGUCGUCUGGCCAAGCUUUUAUGGCAGAGUACGAUGGACUGAACCACGCUGAGUGCUUAAUGUGACCCUCCAGCCAGCGCCUCCACUACAUCACCGGCGACUGUCCUUCCACUCCUGCAGGGACCACCACGACCGCCAUCACUGGCCAUCGCUGGAGAAAGCAACAACAUGAAAAACAACCAGCAGCAAGAGCAACAGCAACAACAACAACAGCAACAACAACAACAACAGCAACAACAACAACAGCAUCAACAACAACAGCAACAACAACAACAACAACAACAACAACAACAACAACUACUACUACUACUACUACUACUACUACUACUACUACUACUACUACUACUACUACUACUACUACUACUACUACUACUACUACCACUACUACUACUACCACCACCAAGAAUAUACACCCAAAGGUCUCAUCUAUGACAUUUCUCACCCCCUGAAAGAAGAAAAAAAAUAGCUUCCUGUACAAACAUCUUCAAGUUUUGUGGCCAUGAAGGGAGACUUAUAUACGUCUAUUAUUUCCUGUCCUUUUUAGGGGAGAGUAGCAAUAUGGGGAGAUGGAAGAGGAGGAGGGGGAGGAAGGUGCAAUGGUCGGUCAGGUCAGAGGCAGGUCAGGUCACAAUGGUUUAAAGGCGACGACGUAUUUUGAAGGUGGUGGUGGUGGUGGUGGUGGUGGUGAUGGAGGGAUGUGGAAAAAGGAAGUAGGAAGGAGUGAUGGUGGGUGGAUGUGGGAUGGGGUAAAUGGAGUGGAAAAAAAGAAAACAAAUAAAAAGAAAAGUUGUUGCUAUAUUGUGUGAGGGAAGAAAGGAGCCGUCUGGAAACUGUUUCCUUCCUUUCUUUGAAUCACGUCUUUCCUUUCUCCUUUCUUUCCCUUUUUUUUCCUCUUCCCUCUCUCUGCCUCGCCGUACCUCCCGCCGGGCCUGGCAAUCUAAAAGGGAGAAUUAUAAGAAUAUGGUACUUUUCUCUCCGUUAUUAUUCGUUAUGUUCCCUCCCUUCAUCUUGAUUUGCCUCCCCCUCGCCUCCCCUCGCCUGGCCUCGCCUCCCUCCACGGCCCAAGAAGAAGAGAAUUAGUAAAAUGUACACCUUAUGUU